rnacentral:rRNA from 1 species
UACAGAGGCCUCGAGCGUUAAUCGGAGUCACUGGGCUUAAAGGGUGCGUAGGCGGACUCGCAAGUGCUUUGUGAAAUCCCACGGCUUAACCGUGGAACUGCUUGGUAGACUGCGAGUCUUGAGGUUGGUAGGGGUCGCUGGAACUCUAGGUGGAGCGGUGAAAUGCGUAGAUAUCUAGAGGAACGCCGAAGGUGAAGACAGGCGACUGGGCCAAUACUGACGCUGAGGCACGAAAGCGUGGGGAGCAAACGGG